CGUGAGAUGUUGGGUUAAGUCCCGCAACGAGCGCAACCCUUGUCCUUUGUUGCCAGCGGGUAAAGCCGGGAACUCAAAGGAGACUGCCAGUGACAAACUGGAGGAAGGCAGGGAUGACGUCAAGUCAUCAUGGCCCUUACGGUCAGGGCUACACACGUGCUACAAUGGGGCGUACAGAGGGAAACGAUACCGCGAGGUGGAGUGGAACCCAAAAAGCGUCCCUAAGUUCGGAUUGGAUGUCUGCAACUCGACUCCAUGAA
rnacentral:rRNA from 1 species